AUUGAACGCUGGCGGCAUGCCUUACACAUGCAAGUCGAACGGCAGCACGGGUGCUUGCCCCUGGUGGCGAGCGGCGAACGGGUGAGUAAUACAUCGGAACAUGUCCUGCUGGGGGGUAUAGCCCGGCGAAAGCCGGUUAAAUACCGCAAACGAUCUACGGAUGAAAGCGGGGGAUCUUCGGGCCUCGCGCUGUAGGGUCGGCCGAUGGCUGAUUAGCUAGUUGGUGGGGUAAAGGCCUACCAAGGCGACGAUCAGUAGCUGGUCUGAGAGGACGACCAGCCACACUGGGACUGAGACACGGCCCAGACUCCUACGGGAGGCAGCAGUGGGGAAUUUUGGACAAUGGGCGAAAGCCUGAUCCAGCAAUGCCGCGUGUGUGAAGAAGGCCUUCGGGUUGUAAAGCACUUUUGUCCGGAAAGAAAUCCUUGGCUCUAAUACAGUCGGGGGAUGACGGUACCGGAAGAAUAAGCACCGGCUAACUACGUG
rnacentral:rRNA from 1 species